CCCGUUUCUCGCGGAUUUCACUGUUUUCAGGAAUGGUUUAAUGUCUUCGAAAAAGUCCGUUAUUUCUACCGUUUUAAGGCGACUUACCGUCAGAAGGGAGUGUCCAAGAUUUCAAUAUUUCUGAAGG